UACGUAGGGUGCGAGCGUUGUCCGGAAUUAUUGGGCGUAAAGAGCGUGUAGGCGGUCCGGUAAGUCGGCUGUGAAAGUCCAGGGCUCAACCCUGGGAUGCCGGUCGAUACUGCCGGACUAGAGUUCGGAAGAGGCGAGUGGAAUUCCCGGUGUAGCGGUGAAAUGCGCAGAUAUCCGGGAGGAACACCUAUGGCGAAGGCAGCUCGCUGGGACGUUACUGACG
rnacentral:rRNA from 1 species